rnacentral:rRNA from 1 species
AUUGAACGCUGGCGGAAUGCUUUACACAUGCAAGUCGAACGGCAGCAUAGAGAGCUUGCUCUCUGAUGGCGAGUGGCGAACGGGUGAGUAAUAUAUCGGAACGUGCCUAGUAAUGGGGAAUAACUAGCUGAAAGGUUAGCUAAUGCCGCAUACGACCUACGGGUGAAAGCAGGGGAUCUUCGGACCUUGCGUUAUUAGAGCGGCCGAUAUCUGAUUAGCUUGUUGGUGGGGUAAUGGCCUACCAAGGCGACGAUCAGUAGCUGGUCUGAGAGGACGAUCAGCCACACUGGAACUGAGACACGGUCCAGACUCCUACGGGAGGCAGCAGUGGGGAAUUUUGGACAAUGGGGGCAACCCUGAUCCAGCCAUUCCGCGUGAGUGAAGAAGGCCUUCGGGUUGUAAAGCUCUUUCGCAAGAGAAGAAAACUUGCUAUCUAAUAAAUAGUAAGUAUGACGGUAUCUUGACAAGAAGCACCGGCUAACUACGUGCCAGCAGCCGCGGUAAUACGUAGGGUGCAAGCGUUAAUCGGAAUUACUGGGCGUAAAGCGUGCGCAGGCAGUUUUAUAAGUCAGAUGUGAAAUCCCCGAGCUCAACUUGGGAACUGCGUUUGAAACUAUAAGACUAGAGUGUGUCAGAGGGGGGUAGAAUUCCAAGUGUAGCAGUGAAAUGCGUAGAGAUUUGGAGGAAUACCAAUGGCGAAGGCAGCCCCCUGGGAUAACACUGACGCUCAUGCAC